rnacentral:rRNA from 1 species
AUGAACGCUGGCUACAGGCUUAACACAUGCAAGUCGAGGGGAAACGACGGGGAAGCUUGCUUCCCCGGGCGUCGACCGGCGCACGGGUGAGUAACGCGUAUCCAACCUGCCUCUGACUGAGGGAUAACCCGUCGAAAGUCGGCCUAAUACCUCAUGGUAUCGUCUGCGGGCAUCCAACGACGAUUAAAGAUUUCAUCGGUCAGGGAUGGGGAUGCGUCUGAUUAGCUUGUUGGCGGGGUAACGGCCCACCAAGGCUACGAUCAGUAGGGGUUCUGAGAGGAAGGUCCCCCACAUUGGAACUGAGACACGGUCCAAACUCCUACGGGAGGCAGCAGUGAGGAAUAUUGGUCAAUGGGCGAGAGCCUGAACCAGCCAAGUAGCGUGCAGGAAGACGGCCCUAUGGGUUGUAAACUGCUUUUAGGCGGGGAUAAAGUGAGGGACGUGUCCCUCAUUGCAGGUACCGCAUGAAUAAGGACCGGCUAAUUCCGUG